rnacentral:tRNA from 1 species
GUAAAUAUAGUUUAACUAAAACUUUAGAAUGUGAAUCUAAUAAUAGAAUCAUAACAAUUCUUAUUUACC